CAGCACCUCAAGUGGUCAGGAUGAUAUUGGGCCUAAAGCAUCCGUAGCCGGCGCUGUAAGUUUUCGGUUAAAUCUGUACGCUCAACGUACAGGCUGCCGGGAAUACUGCAGCGCUAGGGAGUGGGAGAGGUAGACGGUACUCGGUAGGAAGGGGUAAAAUCCUUUGAUCUAUUGAUGACCACCUGUGGCGAAGGCGGUCUACCAGAACACGUCCGACGGUGAGGGAUGAAAGCUGGGGGAGCAAACCGGAUUAGAUACCCGAGUAGUCC
rnacentral:rRNA from 1 species